UUAAUUAAUAUAUAUAUAUAUAUAUAUAUAUAUAACCUUCUUAAUUAGUAACAUUAAUUAAGCUGAUAGACAGACAUACAGAUGCAGUUUAUCCGGCCAGAUCGAUCUAACGAAGAGUAGUUUAGAUCUGACGGUUAUUGGUCUGGGGGCCUCUGCCGGAGGUAACAGGUUUUCUUGGUGGCUUUCUGAAUGCCGUUUUGGUUGCUACUGAUCUACUUGUCACCAUAAAUGUUGCCUCCUGCAUGCAGCCAGCCAAAUUAAAUUAAUUAAUGAGUAUUUGAAUAUAUAUAUAUAUAUAUAUAUAUAUAUAUAUAUAUAUAUAUAUGGGAUAUAGAGAGAUGAAACAGAGGAGAGAGAGAGAGAGAUACAGUAGUGGAGUGUGUGGUUUCUCCUCCUAAUUGUGUUUGAGUAGGAGAAUUAUCUGCAGGUGAUUGGUGUUUAUAAGUAGUACUUUCUGAUGUGAAGCCCAGGCGCCUUAGCAUAGAUUUAAUUACUUCUUGUAGGAAAUUCCAGGGAGUUUUGUAAGAGUAGUAGUAUACUACUACUUCACUACUCUCCCUCAUCACCUCUCCUGAACAUCUAAUCUCCAUUAUUUAUUUCUUCUUCUUCUCUGUCUCUUUCUCAAUGGAUUUAUUUAUACUCUCAAAGGUCAAAAGAGGAAGAGGAAGAGGAAGAGGGCGAGGAGGAGACGGGGGUAUAUAUGGUAACUAUGUAAGUUGGAG
rnacentral:lncRNA from 1 species